rnacentral:rRNA from 1 species
UCCUGCAGGGCUGGCGGGAAAUGUUGCGUAUAGGAGGGUCGAUUCUCCCGGGCAUCCGCGGCCGGUCCAAGUCCCUCUUGAACGGGGCCACGGUCCCUAGAAGGUGCCAGGCCUGUGGGAUGGUUGCGGUGUCCGGGACGACCUCUCCUUGGAGUCGGGUUGCUUGAGAGUGCAGCCCUAAGCAGGUGGUAAACUCCAUCUAAGGCUAAAUACAACCACGAGACCGAUAGCAAACAAGUACCGUGAGGGAAAGUUGAAAAGAACUUUGAAGAGAGAGUUCAAGAGUACGUGAAACCGUUCAGGGGUAAACGGGUGGAGCCCUAAAGGUCGAACGGGGAGAUUCAGUGUUCCGUCCACUGGCCGCCCGCCUUCGUUGGGUAAACCUCCGCUCCCGGCUUGUCCGGUUCUUGCGGGGGGCCCUCGGUGGCGGUUCGCGCGUCGGUGGGGUUGCGCACUUCUCCCCUAGUAGCACGCCGCGACCCGUUGGGUGUCAGCCGAAAGCCUGGGUGCGAGCCCGCGACCCUCCUCGGAGGGUUGCGGAGUCCCGGUGUCUAGGUCUGACUGCCCGACGGUCUUGAAAGCGGAAAAGGCCCGCGCUGUUGACUUCGGUCGAUCGCGCGCUCGUGCCCCGUGCGAGCGUCCUGUCGCGUGCCGUUGUGCGGACUCGUUCCGCCGCGGCCCGACCGGCGUUGUCGGCGCGGGGACUUCUCGAGCCGUGGCCUGCUCCCGUCCGCGGCGGUAACACAGGGCGGCCCACCCGGCCCGUCUUGAAACACGGACCAAGGAGUCUAACAUGUGCGCGAGUCAUUGGGUCCCACUACACCCAAAGGCGUAUUGAACGAAAAGGCCGUCCUCCGCGUCGGCUGAGGGAAGAUGGGCGUCCGCUCGCGGGCGCCCCGCAUUCCCGGGGCGUCUCGUCCUACCGCCGCUCGUCGGCGGAAGGUGAGGCGCACCCAGAGCGCACACGUUGGUACCCGAAAGAUGGUGAACUAUGCCUGGCCAGGACGAAGCCAGGGGAAACCCUGGUGGAGGUCCGUAGCGAUUCUGACGUGCAAAUCGAUCGUCAGAGCUGGGUAUAGGGGCGAAAGACUAAUCGAACCAUCUAGUAGCUGGUUCCCUCCGAAGUUUCCCUCAGGAUAGCUGGCGUUCGGAGAUUCGAGUCCCAUCCGGUAAAGCGAAUGAUUAGAGGCCAUGGGGUCGAAACGACCUCAACCUAUUCUCAAACUCUAAAUGGGUGGGAUCCGCGGCUUGUUUGAACGUGAAGCCGCGGCUUGUCGGAUCGGAGUGCCCAGUGGGCCACUUUUGGUAAGCAGAACUGGCGCUGUGGGAUGAACCAAACGCCGGGUUAAGGCGCCCGAAUAGACGCUCAUGUGAAACCAUGAAAGGUGUUGGUUGCUUAAGACAGCAGGACGGUGGCCAUGGAAGUCGGAAUCCGCUAAGGAGUGUGUAACAACUCACCUGCCGAAGCAACUAGCCCUGAAAAUGGAUGGCGCUGAAGCGUCUUGCCUAUACCCGGCCGCCGGCGGCAGAAGGCGACUGCCCUCGGGUGGUCGCUGCGAAGCCCCGGUGAGUAGGAGGGUCGCGACGGUGAGCGCAGAAGGGUCUGGGCGUGAGCCUGCCUGGAGCCGCCGUCGGUGCAGAUCUUGGUGGUAGUAGCAAAUACUCCAGCGAGGCCCUGGAGGACCGAUGUGGAGAAGGGUUCCGUGUGAACAGCCGUUGCACACGGGUCAGUCGAUCCUAAGCCCUAGGAGAAAUCCGAUGUUGAUGGUCGCGGGAUGUUCCUAAUCACCGGCCCAGGCACCCGAAAGGACGUGUCGCCUAGUACGUGGAAAUCUAAGCACGUUGUGGUAGGAGGUGACUCCGGCCAUAGAGUAUCGUGGAUGAACGCCAUGCAGGUCGUUACAGGUUCCCGAUACGUCCGUCAUUUACAGGCUCUUCGCUAUGUUCGCUUGCGCAAUUGUCUUCCUCUCCCCACGGGUAGAGAGGAAUCUAAGCCGCGAACUGUAACAUGCGAAUCUAAGCCUUGUGACGGUCGUCCCUCGGUCUAAACCUUCGAUGGUAGCUGGCGGUCCCGAAUCUCUAUGUACGUCGGACAAUACCCACCUUUGCAACGCUAAUGCCCUCUUUCCACCGAAGAGCUGACGCUCUGGAGUAGGGAGCCGUCGAAGGCUGCCGGUUGGCACUAUAAACCCCGUCCGUCGGGCGAAAGGGAAUCCGGUUCCUAUUCCGGAACCCGGUUGCGGAACCGCACUCACGAUCCUCGUAUUGACACGGUAACGUGAAUGAGCCCAGAGAUGCCGCCUGGAGCCCCGGGAAGAGUUUUCUUUUCUGCCUGAGCGUUCGGGUUCCAUGGAAUCCUCUCGUAGGGAGAUAUGGAAUGGAACGCGAAGAGCACCGCAGUUGCUGCGGUGUCCGGGGAGUCCCGCCGGCCCUUGAAAAUCUGGGUGAGGAUCACGUGGAGGCGUCGCACCGGCUCGUACCCAUAUCCGCAGCAG